GACAACACCUGUCACAGAAGAGGUUUUGUAGACAGGCCUACAGUAUAUCAAAGACAACACCUGUCACAGAAGAGGUUUUGUAGACAGGCCUACAGUAUAUCAAAGACAACACCUGUCACAGAAGAUGUUUUGUAGACAGGCCUACAGUAUAUCAAAGACAACACCUGUCACAGAAGAUGUUUUGUAGACAGGCCUACAGUAUAUCAAAGACAACACCUGUCACAGAAGAUGUUUUGUAGACAGGCCUACAGUAUAUCAAAGACAACACCUGUCACAGAAGAGGUUUUGUAGACAGGCCUACAGUAUAUCAAAGACAACACCUGUCACAGAAGAGGUUUUGUAGACAGGCCUACAGUAUAUCAAAGACAACACCUGUCACAGAAGAUGUUUUGUAGACAGGCCUACAGUAUAUCAAAGACAACACCUGUCACAGAAGAUGAUUUGUAGACAGGCCUACAGUAUAUCAAAGACAACACCUGUCACAGAAGAGGUUUUGUAGACAGGCCUACAGUAUAUCAAAGACAACACCUGUCACAGAAGAUGUUUUGUAGACAGGCCUACAGUAUAUCAAAGACAACACCUGUCACAGAAGAGGUUUUGUAGACAGGCCUACAGUAUAUCAAAGACAACACCUGUCACAGAAGAGGUUUUGUAGACAGGCCUACAGUAUAUCAAAGACAACACCUGUCACAGAAGAGGUUUUGUAGACAGGCCUACAGUAUAUCAAAGACAACACCUGUCACAGAAGAGGUUUUGUAGACAGGCCUACAGUAUAUCAAAGACAACACCUGUCACAGAAGAGGUUUUGUAGACAGGCCUACAGUAUAUCAAAGACAACACCUGUCACAGAAGAUGUUUUGUAGACAGGCCUACAGUAUAUCAAAGACAACACCUGUCACAGAAGAUGAUUUGUAGACAGGCCUACAGUAUAUCAAAGACAACACCUGUCACAGAAGAUGAUUUGUAGACAGGCCUACAGUAUAUCAAAGACAACACCUGUCACAGAAGAGGUUUUGUAGACAGGCCUACAGUAUAUCAAAGACAACACCUGUCACAGAAGAGGUUUUGUAGACAGGCCUACAGUAUAUCAAAGACAACACCUGU